ensembl:lncRNA
AUCUUUUUCUGUAUUAAAUUAGAUGAAAGAGUGGUAAUAUUUUUAACCUUGUCUGUUUUUAAUGGAUAUUUAGGAAAUGGGCAAUGUAAUGUCGUGUAUUUCCUUAAGAGUUAUAACCUCUUCCAUCCUGUAGGCCUUUUAUCGGGAUGCCAGCAACAAUCUCAAGCAUGGCAUAUAACUUCCACUGGCUUACCAUCCCCCAGCUAAUUCACUUCAAAAUCCUCCUUAUCCCCGACAAAUCUCUCCAUAACUUGGCUCCCCCUUACCUGAAUGAACCUCUCCACUGACACACUGCCACCUGUACUCUCUGCUCUGCUGAUGUUGGCCGCCUAUCUAUCAACCUUCCGGACCAAAUGCCGGACCUGAGGUGACAAGGCUUUCUCCAAUGCCACUCCCACCCUCUGGAGCUCACUCCCUAAAAGCAUCAGAGAAUGCUGCUUUGUGUUCCUACCUACUUUUUAAAUCAUCUAGUGUCUAGAAAAGCACUAUAUGAGUAGAAAGAUCUAAAGGAAUGGUGCUGGACAUCAUGCUUGGGAAAAGUACAUGGUUAAAGGAGAAGAGGGAGGUAAAGAAUCAGAUGGAUAGACGGUGUGACCAACAUUUGACCUUGUAUUUAAAUUGCAGUGGCUGCUUAUUACUUUAAUGUAGACCUUGUUCUUGCAUCACACACCCUAAAGAAAUAUGUGAUUGUUUAACUUCAGCCAAAAGCACUAAUUUGAUUUUCCUCAACUCUACACAAGUUGUAACUAAACAUCAAACUCUUCUGGGCUUUGUAUUCCCCAUCUGCCAGUGAAUGAGGAGUUUAACAGGACAAUGUUUACUGAGCAUCUAUGGCCUGGUAUGGAGAAGUGGCUUCUGGUGACUGUGCUGGGACUGGAAAUGGUCGUGGGAGUUGUGGGAAACAGUCUUGUUCUGCUUGUCAAAGUCAUGUGUAGAGGCCAAUUCUGCUGUCGUUACUGGUUUCCUUUCAUCAGUCUCACCCUAUCAGAUCUAGGUACAAUGUUCACUGACACCACAGAUCAUAUAUUUAGUUUUCUUCAAUAGUCGUCUAUUGAUCCACAUCAUCAGUUCAUUUGAUUCUGGUAAUCUAACACAUUUACUACAUUGUCUGACAUGUAAUUUGAGUGCAGGAAUUCCUUUCUGAAAAUGAGCCACUGUGUUCUCAAGGCUGCUCCGUCCUUAUCAUCUCUGGCUCCAUGCUGGCCAUUCUGACAGGAGGUCAGAGGUCACCAUGGUGUGAAGUAGUCAGCCUGCUGAAGUUUGCCUUCAUCACCUCCUCUAUAGGAAGCAUAGCUGUCCUCUGUGUGCAGCGGCUGAUUGGCAUGGCCUUCAGAGGAAGUGCUCUCUUCGUUGUCAUGGUGACAGCGUGCUUGGUUUCUUGGGUGACAGGAGCUGUGUUCGGGAGCAUCCCUGUUGUUUACGCCUGGAUCAGUGAUGAGGAGGCGGAUCUUUCUGAAGUGGCUCCUCUUUUGGUGGCCUCCUACACAAUCUGCUACACUCCCUUUGUUGUGUCUGAGCUGAUCCUGCUGGGUAGGAUGGACCUGUCUCCAGCACCUGAUUGGUUAAGGACAUUAUCCUCCGUUAUGUCAUACCUGGACUGUGGUUUAAACCCUCUUAUCUACUGCACCCAUCAGAGCUUCAGGGAGGCAGGUCUGGCACUGUUAUGGACUAAAAGGAAACCAAUGUCAGAGCCUGUUCUCACUGCUGUCAUUAAGCAUUAAAUGUAAACAUGUGAGGGUUGAUAUAUAAAAUUCAAAAGGUGAGCCCAAAAAUACGCAGAUUUUUAAAAUAUAACUGCCAAGCAAAUUUGAAGCAUGCUUGUUGUACCCUGUUAUAAAUAAUUAAAGAAAG